CCUACGGGAGGCAGCAGUGAGGAAUAUUGGACAAUGGGCGCAAGCCUGAUCCAGCCAUGCCGCGUGCAGGAAGAAGCAUCUAUGGUGUGUAAACUGCUUUUGUACGGGAAGAAACAACUGCUACGUGUAGCAGCUUGACGGUACCGUAAGAAUAAGGAUCGGCUAACUCCGUGCCAGCAGCCGCGGUAAUACGGAGGAUCCAAGCGUUAUCCGGAAUCAUUGGGUUUAAAGGGUCCGUAGGCGGUUUGGUAAGUCAGUGGUGAAAGCCCAUCGCUUAACGAUGGAACGGCCAUUGAUACUGCCAGACUUGAAUUACUAGGAAGUAACUAGAAUAUGUAGUGUAGCGGUGAAAUGCUUAGAUAUUACAUGGAAUACCAAUUGCGAAGGCAGGUUACUACUAGUUUAUUGUACGCUGAUGGACGAAAGCGUGGGGAGCGAACAGGAUUAGGUACCCUGGUAGUCCACGCCGUAAACGAUGGAUACUAGCUGUUCGGGGUAACCUGAGUGGCUAAGCGAAAGUGAUAAGGUAUCCCACCUGGGGAGUACGUUCGCAAGAAUGAAACUUAAGGAAGUUGAGG
rnacentral:rRNA from 1 species